rnacentral:tRNA from 1 species
CCGACCUUAGCUCUGUUGGUAUAGCGGAGGACUGUAGUUGACGCAUCCUUAGGUCACUGGUUCGAAUUCGGUAGGUCGGA